rnacentral:rRNA from 1 species
GCAAGUCGAGCGCGCCCUUCGGGGUGAGCGGCGGACGGGUGAGUAACGCGUGGGAAUAUGCCCUUCUCUAAGGAAUAGCCUCUGGAAACGGAGAGUAAUACCUUAUACGCCCUUAGGGGGAAAGAUUUAUCGGGGAAGGAUUAGACCGCGUUGGAUUAGGUAGUUGGUGGGGUAAUGGCCUACCAAGCCGACGAUCCAUAGCUGGUUUGAGAGGAUGAUC